UACAGAGGUCUCAAGCGUUGUUCGGAUUCAUUGGGCGUAAAGGGUGUGUAGGUGGCGCGGUAAGUCGGGUGUGAAAUUUCGGAGCUUAACUCCGAAACUGCAUUCGAUACUGCCGUGCUUGAGGACUGGAGAGGAGACUGGAAUUUACGGUGUAGCAGUGAAAUGCGUAGAGAUCGUAAGGAAGACCGUGGCGAAGGCGGGUCUCGUGGACAGCUUCGUGACACUGAGGCACGAAGGCCAGGGGAGCAAACGGG
rnacentral:rRNA from 1 species